CUUGAGAGAAAAUUUUCUAAAUCUCUUUACUCUUUUUGUUUGCAGCCUAGGUUGGAGAUCUCAGUUCACUGACCUAUAGGGUCCUCCGGUAGUUUAAAGAAACGCCCUGCUUACCAUUAAGGCAUAGCGAGAGUCAGGAAGAAUGAAGAUCCAAUAUAAAGAAGAUUCCGGGAGGUUGCCCUGUGUGGUUCCAAGAGGCGAAACACAGGGUCCCCAGUGCAGCUGACUGCUCAUUAUCUCCUCUGCCAUUGAGGCAGUCAUGUUACAAGGGCGCCCAGUGCUAGUUUCUGCUCCCAUCUGUGUGCGAUGCCCUUCAUUCCACUGCUUUGAACCAGGGUGAAAGUGGAGGCUUCCUCCAUGAAGGCACAGCUCUUUCUCUGGCUCCUUACAUGACUCCGUCUAUGCUCUGCCCCUUUCUGCUGCCCAGAUACAGUUGCCAGAGAUUGUUACCGUGGUCUUGGAGAUUAUUGCAGUUGGCACUUAGGGAUGCUUUUAAAAUCGGAAGCCUGCCACUCAUGCUGAAGCUUUUGAGA
rnacentral:lncRNA from 1 species